rnacentral:rRNA from 1 species
GACGAACGCUGGCGGCGUGGAUUAGGCAUGCAAGUCGAACGGUAUCAUCCUUUCGGGGGUGAGAGAGUGGCGAACUGGUGAGUAACACGUAGGUUAUCUACCCUCAAGACGGGGACAACCCAGGGAAACUUGGGCUAAUACCGGAUGUGAGCAACUUUUAGUUGUUUGAAAGGUGGCGUAAGCUGUCGCUUGGGGAUGAGCCUGCGUCCUAUUAGUUAGUUGGUGAGGUAACGGCUCACCUAGGCAAUGAUAGGUAGGCGGCCUUAACGGGUGGUCGCCCACACUGGGAUUGAGAUACGGCCCAGACUCCUACGGGAGGCAGCAGUCGAGAAUAGUCUACAAUGGACGGAAGUCUGAUAGUGCGACGCCGCGUGAACGAAGAAUCCCUUCGGGGUGUAAAGUUCUUUUAUACGUGAGCAGUGCCCUUUAUAUGAAUAGUAUAGAGGGAGGGAUUUAAGCGUAUGAAUAAGCAACGGCUAACUCCGUG